UACGUAGGGUGCGAGCGUUGUCCGGAAUUAUUGGGCGUAAAGGGCUCGUAGGCGGUUUGUCGCGUCGGGAGUGAAAACUCAGGGCUUAACCCUGAGCCUGCUUCCGAUACGGGCAGACUAGAGGUAUGCAGGGGAGAACGGAAUUCCUGGUGUAGCGGUGAAAUGCGCAGAUAUCAGGAGGAACACCGGUGGCGAAGGCGGUUCUCUGGGCAUUACCUGACGCUGAGGUGCGAAAGCGUGGGGAUCAAACAGG
rnacentral:rRNA from 1 species